CGGACGUCUACAGUGACGGCAACAAGCACCGUGCAGUGCAGCAGCACUACCAAAAUAGUAUUAGCGUGAGAGCACAAUAGAACCCUUCGGCAACACGAGCCACCGUGUUCACCCCUCACCCCUUACUCCUCACUCCUCACCCCACCCCGCCCCAACGGAUGAUCCGCGUCUUUGCGAAAACAGAUGUGCCAGUGAUGGACAUCAUCGAGCUGCAGGGCAAGAUCGUCAUCACAGAGGAGGCACUGAGGGCCGCACGAGACGCCAAGGAGCGACGACGUACGUCACGGCGUGAGCGGCGCAGGAGGGGGGCAGCCAACAGCGGCACCGCGGUAGGAGAGGACGCCAGCUGCACGGGCGAUGAUCUCAUGCCUCUGUCUUUGGUGCCGUCGUCAUCGUAUCCUUCCUCCGGCUGCAGCAGCAGUCGCAGCAGCAGUUGCUCUAGUAGCAGCACCGGUGGUGAUGAUGACGACGAGGGCGGAGAUUGCGCCACGGCAGAUCCCGGCGAGCUCGCAGAUGUCGAUGCACACUGCUAUUCUUCACACAAUAGCGGCGAUCAGCGCGGUGCUGCAGACUCGACAAGUGCAGCUGCAUCAGCGCCGCGUCGCACAUCGUCCCCAGGCUGUCCUUCUCCCGCCAGCCCUCGACGGCCGCGACCGAACUCGCCCUCCGCCUCCCGUCGCGCCGCCGUCGUGGAGGUGCCGCUCGGCCACGUGGAACAGGACCGCCUCGACGAGAAGCGAUGCACCCUCUGCAUCGACACGCUGCGGGUGCACGGCAGCCGGUCCAGCUUCAAGCGCCCGUGGCUUGUACUGCGGGAGUGCACGCCAGCGCGUAUGCGAAAGCUGCGUCGGCAGGUGGUACGGCCACAGAUACCGCGUGAUGUCACAGAGCCGCGCGAGUUGCUGGCGACAGGGGAUGGUGGUGGUGGGGGUGGGGGUGCAGGAGUCGCGGAGUCGGCCGAUGGCGCGUCACCGUCACCGACGCCGGAGACAACCAUACUGUUCUCAGAGUGGCUCGGGCAGCACCCAGACGCGCUCUCCCUCAACUCGCUUUUCCUCGAUGACUUUGCUACCGGUGACGGGGACGACGUGAGCGGAUGUGGGCCGACUGCAGUCGGUUCCGCAUGUGCUGCGACGGCAUCGGCGUCUUCGGGGAGAAGCGGUAACGGCAUCGGGGCACACAAGCGCCCUCGCGAGGCGGAAAAUGUCGGGGGUACCGCACUGGACGGCCCACCGUUCUCACCUCAGUCACCACAGAGCGCCUCCGACGUCCUCUCAGCGGCACAGACGACGGCAGCGACGGUGUACAAAGACUACGAACUGGUCGGCGUUGUGCGCGGCUCCGUCCUGUUCAAUUCUAAGCCGGCACGUGUCUUUCAGUGAGGACGCGGAUGCUGUGAGAGGCGUGCGCCUGUAUGCAUGUCUGUGUGAGGAGAGUCCUGGCGGGCCAUGCCAGAUCAGAGGGGAGGUGGCCGAUAGUCUUCUAUUGAUAUAUAUAUAUAUAUAUGUGCGUCUGCCGCGACAGCGGCUGCCGUGACGACAAGUGGGAAGAGUACGGCAACGACAAGGGGUCGCUGGCCCAUGUCGGUGGCUGCCUGCCUGCGUACGCACUUGCGGGCGUGUUUGUCUGUCCGCUGUUCUUGUUGUGCCGCAUGGUGGCGGGGAAGGCACACGGUCAUCAUGUCCUACCUGUGCUCUUCCUUACCCCGCCUCUCCCUAAAGCGUUCGCGCCUG
rnacentral:misc_RNA from 1 species